rnacentral:rRNA from 1 species
AGAGUUUGAUCCUGGCUCAGAUUGAACGCUGGCGGCAUGCCUUACACAUGCAAGUCGAACGGCAUCACGGGGGCAACCCUGGUGGCGAGUGGCGAACGGGUGAGUAAUACAUCGGAACGUGUCCUGUAGUGGGGGAUAGCCCGGCGAAAGCCGGAUUAAUACCGCAUACGAUCUACGGAAGAAAGCGGGGGAUCCUUCGGGACCUCGCGCUAUAGGGGCGGCCGAUGGCAGAUUAGCUAGUUGGUGGGGUAAAGGCCUACCAAGGCGACGAUCUGUAGCUGGUCUGAGAGGACGACCAGCCACACUGGGACUGAGACACGGCCCAGACUCCUACGGGAGGCAGCAGUGGGGAAUUUUGGACAAUGGGGGAAACCCUGAUCCAGCAAUGCCGCGUGUGUGAAGAAGGCCUUCGGGUUGUAAAGCACUUUUGUCCGGAAAGAAAACUUCUGCCCUAAUACGGCGGGAGGAUGACGGUACCGGAAGAAUAAGCACCGGCUAACUACGUGCCAGCAGCCGCGGUAAUACGUAGGGUGCGAGCGUUAAUCGGAAUUACUGGGCGUAAAGCGUGCGCAGGCGGUUCGUUAAGACAGAUGUGAAAUCCCCGGGCUUAACCUGGGAACUGCAUUUGUGACUGGCGAGCUAGAGUAUGGCAGAGGGGGGUAGAAUUCCACGUGUAGCAGUGAAAUGCGUAGAGAUGUGGAGGAAUACCGAUGGCGAAGGCAGCCCCCUGGGCCAAUACUGACGCUCAUGCACGAAAGCGUGGGGAGCAAACAGGAUUAGAUACCCUGGUAGUCCACGCCCUAAACGAUGUCAACUAGUUGUUGGGUCUUCAUUGACUUAGUAACGUAGCUAACGCGUGAAGUUGACCGCCUGGGGAGUACGGUCGCAAGAUUAAAACUCAAAGGAAUUGACGGGGACCCGCACAAGCGGUGGAUGAUGUGGAUUAAUUCGAUGCAACGCGAAAAACCUUACCUACCCUUGACAGGGAAGGAACCCUGCUGAAAGGUGGGGGUGCUCGAAAGAGAACCGAUACACAGGUGCUGCAUGGCUGUCGUCAGCUCGUG